UAACCCCAAGGUCCCUUUCAGCCGUUAGGCUGGCCAGGACAUCUCCUAACCUAUACUCAUGUUGUAUUUCACCACCAUGAAAUACAGAGGGAAAUUAUUAGAAAAAUAUGAAUACUUACAUAGUACAUGUCAUCCAAGGGCCUCGAAUUGAUUUUUGAAAAAUUAACUGUUAUUCCUGUCUUACAGAAAACGCAACUAAGGCACACAGACUGAACUCUGUCUGGUAGACCCAACUAUUUCUCAGGUUGAAUUAAUGCUUUCCUAAUUUGAAACUGGUUUGGAAAACUAGAACAAUCAGAACAGCUUCCCAUGGCAGUUUGAUAAAAGAUAAAUGUGUUACAGUGCACAAUGUAUUUACAGGGAUCAGCUUUCCCCAUUUCAACAGAGCCUGAAAAGUGACUUGAAAUGCAUACUUGGAAGAAAAUGGCUUCUGCAGGAAGAAGAACGAGGAAAUGCUUUGACUGUUGGAAAAAUUACUACAAACUAAAAACCCUGAUACAACAGUUAAACGUAUCCGUAUUUAAUACAGAGCGUGUGAUGUUUCGGAUGGGAAAUGUAUGUAGAAGCCACGCAGCAGUUCUGAGCGUCACUUCUCUUUCAGCAGACUUUGUGCACCGUGUUCAGCCCCCUUCUGUACCACAGGGCAGGUGCCACAGGACCCAACAAGAUGAAGACUGCUUGCGUGGCAUCAUUCAGAUUACAAAACACCAGUGGACUUCAGCAGUGGACCAGAGCUAGAAAUUUCCACCAUCCACAUUGCCUCAACGCCAAAACAAGAUGGCUAUUAAUGCUAGAAACCCCCUCCUCCCUAGAGAUGACUGGUAAUACAGUACACAGUGGUGCACCCAGCUGUUUGCCAUCAGACAUGCUGACUCGUAUAUAGUUUUGUAAAAAAAAA